rnacentral:rRNA from 1 species
GGUUAAGCGACUAAGCGUACACGGUGGAUGCCCUGGCAGUCAGAGGCGAUGAAGGACGUGCUAAUCUGCGAAAAGCGUCGGUAAGGUGAUAUGAACCGUUAUAACCGGCGAUGUCCGAAUGGGGAAACCCAGUGUGAUUCGUCACACUAUCGUUAACUGAAUACAUAGGUUAACGAGGCGAACCGGGGGAACUGAAACAUCUAAGUACCCCGAGGAAAAGAAAUCAACCGAGAUUCCCCCAGUAGCGGCGAGCGAACGGGGAGCAGCCCAGAGUCUGAAUCAGCUUGUGUGUUAGUGGAACGGUCUGGAAAGUCCGACGGUACAGGGUGAUAGUCCCGUACACCAAAAUGCACAGGUUGUGAACUCGAAGAGUAGGGCGGGACACGUGGUAUCCUGUCUGAAUAUGGGGGACCAUCCUCCAAGGCUAAAUACUCCUGACUGACCGAUAGUGAACCAGUACCGUGAGGGAAAGGCGAAAAGAACCCCGGCGAGGGGAGUGAAAAAGAACCUGAAACCGUGUACGUACAAGCAGUGGGAGCACCUUCGGGUGUGACUGCGUACCUUUUGUAUAAUGGGUCAGCGACUUAUAUUCUGUAGCAAGGUUAACCGUAUAGGGGAGCCGCAGGGAAACCGAGUCUUAACUGGGCGUUAAGUUGCAGGGUAUAGACCCGAAACCCGGUGAUCUAGCCAUGGGCAGGUUGAAGGUUGGGUAACACUAACUGGAGGACCGAACCGACUAAUGUUGAAAAAUUAGCGGAUGACUUGUGGCUGGGGGUGAAAGGCCAAUCAAACCGGGAGAUAGCUGGUUCUCCCCGAAAGCUAUUUAGGUAGCGCCUCGUGAAUUCAUCUUCGGGGGUAGAGCACUGUUUCGGCUAGGGGGUCAUCCCGACUUACCAACCCGAUGCAAACUACGAAUACCGAAGAAUGUUAUCACGGGAGACACACGGCGGGUGCUAACGUCCGUCGUGAAGAGGGAAACAACCCAGACCGCCAGCUAAGGUCCCAAAGUCAUGGUUAAGUGGGAAACGAUGUGGGAAGGCACAGACAGCCAGGAUGUUGGCUUAGAAGCAGCCAUCAUUUAAAGAAAGCGUAAUAGCUCACUGGUCGAGUCGGCCUGCGCGGAAGAUGUAACGGGGCUAAACCAUGCACCGAAGCUGCGGCAGCGACACUAUGUGUUGUUGGGUAGGGGAGCGUUCUGUAAGCCUGCGAAGGUGUGCUGUGAGGCAUGCUGGAGGUAUCAGAAGUGCGAAUGCUGACAUAAGUAACGAUAAAGCGGGUGAAAAGCCCGCUCGCCGGAAGACCAAGGGUUCCUGUCCAACGUUAAUCGGGGCAGGGUGAGUCGGCCCCUAAGGCGAGGCCGAAAGGCGUAGUCGAUGGGAAACAGGUUAAUAUUCCUGUACUUGGUGUUACUGCGAAGGGGGGACGGAGAAGGCUAUGUUAGCCGGGCGACGGUUGUCCCGGUUUAAGCAUGUAGGCUGGUUGUCCAGGCAAAUCCGGAUAAUCAAGGCUGAGGUGUGAUGACGAGGCACUACGGUGCUGAAGUAACAAAUGCCCUGCUUCCAGGAAAAGCCUCUAAGCAUCAGGUAACAUCAAAUCGUACCCCAAACCGACACAGGUGGUCAGGUAGAGAAUACCAAGGCGCUUGAGAGAACUCGGGUGAAGGAACUAGGCAAAAUGGUGCCGUAACUUCGGGAGAAGGCACGCUGGUGUGUAGGUGAAGUCCCUGCGGAUGGAGCUGAGACCAGUCGAAGAUACCAGCUGGCUGCAACUGUUUAUUAAAAACACAGCACUGUGCAAACACGAAAGUGGACGUAUACGGUGUGACGCCUGCCCGGUGCCGGAAGGUUAAUUGAUGGGGUUAUCCGUAAGGAGAAGCUCUUGAUCGAAGCCCCGGUAAACGGCGGCCGUAACUAUAACGGUCCUAAGGUAGCGAAAUUCCUUGUCGGGUAAGUUCCGACCUGCACGAAUGGCGUAAUGAUGGCCAGGCUGUCUCCACCCGAGACUCAGUGAAAUUGAACUCGCUGUGAAGAUGCAGUGUACCCGCGGCAAGACGGAAAGACCCCGUGAACCUUUACUAUAGCUUGACACUGAACAUUGAGCCUUGAUGUGUAGGAUAGGUGGGAGGCUUUGAAGCGUGGACGCCAGUCUGCGUGGAGCCAACCUUGAAAUACCACCCUUUAAUGUUUGAUGUUCUAACGUUGGCCCCUUACCGGGGUUGCGGACAGUGUCUGGUGGGUAGUUUGACUGGGGCGGUCUCCUCCCAAAGCGUAACGGAGGAGCACGAAGGUUAGCUAAUCCUGGUCGGACAUCAGGAGGUUAGUGCAAUGGCAUAAGCUAGCUUGACUGCGAGCGUGACGGCGCGAGCAGGUGCGAAAGCAGGUCAUAGUGAUCCGGUGGUUCUGAAUGGAAGGGCCAUCGCUCAACGGAUAAAAGGUACUCCGGGGAUAACAGGCUGAUACCGCCCAAGAGUUCAUAUCGACGGCGGUGUUUGGCACCUCGAUGUCGGCUCAUCACAUCCUGGGGCUGAAGUAGGUCCCAAGGGUAUGGCUGUUCGCCAUUUAAAGUGGUACGCGAGCUGGGUUUAGAACGUCGUGAGACAGUUCGGUCCCUAUCUGCCGUGGGCGCUGGAGAAUUGAGGGGGGCUGCUCCUAGUACGAGAGGACCGGAGUGGACGCAUCACUGGUGUUCGGGUUGUCAUGCCAAUGGCACUGCCCGGUAGCUAAAUGCGGAAGAGAUAAGUGCUGAAAGCAUCUAAGCACGAAACUUGCCCCGAGAUGAGUUCUCCCUGAGACUUUAAGUCUCCUGAAGGAACGUUGAAGACGACGACGUUGAUAGGCCGGGUGUGUAAGCGCAGCGAUGCGUUGAGCUAACCGGUACUAAUGAACCGUGAGGCUUAACCUU